AGCGCUGUACAGCUGAACACAUGACGCAUGGUGACACACGAAUAACAUUUCUAACACUUGGGAAAUUAACAACAUCCUACGUUUAAAAUGGACUAGAAGAUGAUUGAAGUACUGCAGAUCAAACAAGGCAUGCUGAUGCACGAAUUAACAUUUCUGUCACUUGGGAAUGUCACAACAUCGUACGUUGAAAAUGGACUAGAAGAUACUGAUAAUAAUAACGGUUUUAUUCAAUAGCGCUGUACAGCUGAACACAUGACGCAUGGUGACACACGAAUAACAUUUCUAACACUUGGGAAAUUAACAACAUCCUACGUUGAAAAUGGACUAGAAGAUGAUUGAAGUACUGCAGAUCAAACAAGGCAUGCUGAUGCACGAAUUAACAUUUCUGUCACUUGGGAAAGUCACAACAUCCUACGUUGAAAAUGGACUAGAAGAUACUGAUAAUAAUAACGGUUUUAUUCAAUAGCGCUGUACAGCUGAACACAUGACGCAUGGUGACACACGAAUAACAUUUCUAACACUUGGGAAAUUAACAACAUCCUACGUUGAAAAUGGACUAGAAGAUGGUGAUAAUUUUAAUAGAUUUAUGCAAUAUUGAAGUAUUGCAGAUCAAACAAGGCAUGCUGAUGCACGAAUUAACAUUUCUGUCACUUGGGAAAGUCACAACAUCCUACGUUGAAAAUGGACUAGAAGAUACUGAUAAUAAUAACGGUUUUAUUCAAUAGCGCUGUACAGCUGAACACAUGACGCAUGGUGACACACGAAUAACAUUUCUAACACUUGGGAAAUUAACAACAUCCUACGUUGAAAAUGGACUAGAAGAUGGUGAUAAUUUUAAUAGAUUUAUGCAAUAUUGAACUAUUGCAGAUCAAACAAGGCAUGCUGAUGCACGAAUUAACAUUUCUGUCACUUGGGAAAGUCACAACAUCCUACGUUGAAAAUGGACUAGAAGAUACUGAUAAUAAUAACGGUUUUAUUCAAUAGCGCUGUACAGCUGAACACAUGACGCAUGGUGACACACGAAUAACAUUUCUAACACUUGGGAAAUUAACAACAUCCUACGUUGAAAAUGGACUAGAAGAUGGUGAUAAUUUUAAUAGAUUUAUGCAAUAUUGAACUAUUGCAGAUCAAACAAGGCAUGCUGAUGCACGAAUUAACAUUUCUGUCACUUGGGAAAGUCACAACAUCCUACGUUGAAAAUGGACUAGAAGAUACUGAUAAUAAUAACGGUUUUAUUCAAUAGCGCUGUACAGCUGAACACAUGACGCAUGGUGACACACGAAUAACAUUUCUAACACUUGGGAAAUUAACAACAUCCUACGUUGAAAAUGGACUAGAAGAUGGUGAUAAUUUUAAUAGAUUUAUGCAAUGUUCGUGUAAUGGGUAUUGAUUGUAAAUGAUAGUAAAUUAAUAAGAGUGUAUCAAUUAAAAUUUGUUAAUGAUCUGAAUAAAGAAAUGGUAAACACCUCACAAUUGUAAUCUUCAUUCUUAAAAUUUGCCUUAGCUGUAAAAAUCUUUUCAAUAUUACUCCGUUUAAUUCAUGAUUAAUUUUUAAUUUAAUCAUUACCCAAAGUUAUGUAAUUUAAACUGUUUAGUUUUAAUAGAUAUAUACAAAUUGUUUUAUUCAUUUCCAAUUCGAGAGUAUCAUUUGCAGAUCAGAGUUAUAUUUUAAGAAUGGUUUAGCCAUACUAUGUUAAAUAACAGCAAUUUUAAGUUGUGUUCAUGUGUAUUCUAUGGUUUCCCUUAUUUGACAUUCAUAUUCUACAAAACAUUCAAAUUGAUUAAAUUCAUUUUAUCUUUUAUGGCUUAUCAAAACGAUUAUCUCUUAUCAUCUGUUAUAAGUUUAUAUUUCAUAUCAUUUUGCAGUUUUACGUUCGUGUUUGUAUUAAAGUUUCAACUGCAAAUUGUUUUCGUGUAUUUUGUAAUAUUAAUGAGGUUUAUCUGUUAGUUUUUGUUGGAUUGUUUCAAUUUAUGAAAUUGUCAGUGUUCUGCAUGUAUUAGUUGUUAUAUUAAGUUUUUCGUUGUUCUCAUGAUUGAACUAUUGCAGAUCAAACAAGGCAUGCUGAUGCACGAAUUAACAUUUCUGUCACUUGGGAAAGUCACAACAUCCUACGUUGAAAAUGGACUAGAAGAUACUGAUAAUAAUAACGGUUUUAUUCAAUAGCGCUGUACAGCUGAACACAUGACGCAUGGUGACACACGAAUAACAUUUCUAACACUUGGGAAAUUAACAACAUCCUACGUUGAAAAUGGACUAGAAGAUGGUGAUAAUUUUAAUAGAUUUAUGCAAUAUUGAAGUAUUGCAGAUCAAACAAGGCAUGCUGAUGCACGAAUUAACAUUUCUGUCACUUGGGAAAGUCACAACAUCCUACGUUGAAAAUGGACUAGAAGAUACUGAUAAUAAUAACGGUUUUAUUCAAUAGCGCUGUACAGCUGAACACAUGACGCAUGGUGACACACGAAUAACAUUUCUAACACUUGGGAAAUUAACAACAUCCUACGUUGAAAAUGGACUAGAAGAUGGUGAUAAUUUUAAUAGAUUUAUGCAAUAUUGAACUAUUGCAGAUCAAACAAGGCAUGCUGAUGCACGAAUUAACAUUUCUGUCACUUGGGAAAGUCACAACAUCCUACGUUGAAAAUGGACUAGAAGAUACUGAUAAUAAUAACGGUUUUAUUCAAUAGCGCUGUACAGCUGAACACAUGACGCAUGGUGACACACGAAUAACAUUUCUAACACUUGGGAAAUUAACAACAUCCUACGUUGAAAAUGGACUAGAAGAUGGUGAUAAUUUUAAUAGAUUUAUGCAAUAUUGAACUAUUGCAGAUCAAACAAGGCAUGCUGAUGCACGAAUUAACAUUUCUGUCACUUGGGAAAGUCACAACAUCCUACGUUGAAAAUGGACUAGAAGAUACUGAUAAUAAUAACGGUUUUAUUCAAUAGCGCUGUACAGCUGAACACAUGACGCAUGGUGACACACGAAUAACAUUUCUAACACUUGGGAAAUUAACAACAUCCUACGUUGAAAAUGGACUAGAAGAUGGUGAUAAUUUUAAUAGAUUUAUGCAAUAUUGAACUAUUGCAGAUCAAACAAGGCAUGCUGAUGCACGAAUUAACAUUUCUGUCACUUGGGAAAGUCACAACAUCCUACGUUGAAAAUGGACUAGAAGAUACUGAUAAUAAUAACGGUUUUAUUCAAUAGCGCUGUACAGCUGAACACAUGACGCAUGGUGACACACGAAUAACAUUUCUAACACUUGGGAAAUUAACAACAUCCUACGUUGAAAAUGGACUAGAAGAUGAUUGAAGUAUUGCAGAUCAAACAAGGCAUGCUGAUGCACGAAUUAACAUUUCUGUCACUUGGGAAAGUCACAACAUCCUACGUUGAAAAUGGACUAGAAGAUACUGAUAAUAAUAACGGUUUUAUUCAAUAGCGCUGUACAGCUGAACACAUGACGCAUGGUGACACACGAAUAACAUUUCUAACACUUGGGAAAUUAACAACAUCCUACGUUGAAAAUGGACUAGAAGAUGGUGAUAAUUUUAAUAGAUUUAUGCAAUGUUCGUGUAAUGGGUAUUGAUUGUAAAUGAUAGUAAAUUAAUAAGAGUGUAUCAAUUAAAAUUUGUUAAUGAUCUGAAUAAAGAAAUGGUAAACACCUCACAAUUGUAAUCUUCAUUCUUAAAAUUUGCCUUAGCUGUAAAAAUCUUUUCAAUAUUACUCCGUUUAAUUCAUGAUUAAUUUUUAAUUUAAUCAUUACCCAAAGUUAUGUAAUUUAAACUGUUUAGUUUUAAUAGAUAUAUACAAAUUGUUUUAUUCAUUUCCAAUUCGAGAGUAUCAUUUGCAGAUCAGAGUUAUAUUUUAAGAAUGGUUUAGCCAUACUAUGUUAAAUAACAGCAAUUUUAAGUUGUGUUCAUGUGUAUUCUAUGGUUUCCCUUAUUUGACAUUCAUAUUCUACAAAACAUUCAAAUUGAUUAAAUUCAUUUUAUCUUUUAUGGCUUAUCAAAACGAUUAUCUCUUAUCAUCUGUUAUAAGUUUAUAUUUCAUAUCAUUUUGCAGUUUUACGUUCGUGUUUGUAUUAAAGUUUCAACUGCAAAUUGUUUUCGUGUAUUUUGUAAUAUUAAUGAGGUUUAUCUGUUAGUUUUUGUUGGAUUGUUUCAAUUUAUGAAAUUGUCAGUGUUCUGCAUGUAUUAGUUGUUAUAUUAAGAUUUUCGUUGUUCUCAUGAUUGAAGUAUUGCAGAUCAAACAAGGCAUGCUGAUGCACGAAUUAACAUUUCUGUCACUUGGGAAAGUCACAACAUCCUACGUUCAAAAUGGACUAGAAGAUACUGAUAAUAAUAACGGUUUUAUUCAAUAGCGCUGUACAGCUGAACACAUGACGCAUGGUGACACACGAAUAACAUUUCUAACACUUGGGAAAUUAACAACAUCCUACGUUGAAAAUGGACUAGAAGAUGGUGAUAAUUUUAAUAGAUUUAUGCAAUGUUCGUGUAAUGGGUAUUGAUUGUAAAUGAUAGUAAAUUAAUAAGAGUGUAUCAAUUAAAAUUUGUUAAUGAUCUGAAUAAAGAAAUGGUAAACACCUCACAAUUGUAAUCUUCAUUCUUAAAAUUUGCCUUAGCUGUAAAAAUCUUUUCAAUAUUACUCCGUUUAAUUCAUGAUUAAUUUUUAAUUUAAUCAUUACCCAAAGUUAUGUAAUUUAAACUGUUUAGUUUUAAUAGAUAUAUACAAAUUGUUUUAUUCAUUUCCAAUUCGAGAGUAUCAUUUGCAGAUCAGAGUUAUAUUUUAAGAAUGGUUUAGCCAUACUAUGUUAAAUAACAGCAAUUUUAAGUUGUGUUCAUGUGUAUUCUAUGGUUUCCCUUAUUUGACAUUCAUAUUCUACAAAACAUUCAAAUUGAUUAAAUUCAUUUUAUCUUUUAUGGCUUAUCAAAACGAUUAUCUCUUAUCAUCUGUUAUAAGUUUAUAUUUCAUAUCAUUUUGCAGUUUUACGUUCGUGUUUGUAUUAAAGUUUCAACUGCAAAUUGUUUUCGUGUAUUUUGUAAUAUUAAUGAGGUUUAUCUGUUAGUUUUUGUUGGAUUGUUUCAAUUUAUGAAAUUGUCAGUGUUCUGCAUGUAUUAGUUGUUAUAUUAAGAUUUUCGUUGUUCUCAUGAUUGAAGUAUUGCAGAUCAAACAAGGCAUGCUGAUGCACGAAUUAACAUUUCUGUCACUUGGGAAAGUCACAACAUCCUACGUUGAAAAUGGACUAGAAGAUACUGAUAAUAAUAACGGUUUUAUUCAAUAGCGCUGUACAGCUGAACACAUGACGCAUGGUGACACACGAAUAACAUUUCUAACACUUGGGACAUUAACAACAUCCUACGUUGAAAAUGGACUAGAAGAUGAUUGAAGUAUUGCAGAUCAAACAAGGCAUGCUGAUGCACGAAUUAACAUUUCUGUCACUUGGGAAAGUCACAACAUCCUACGUUGAAAAUGGACUAGAAGAUACUGAUAAUAAUAACGGUUUUAUUCAAUAGCGCUGUACAGCUGAACACAUGACGCAUGGUGACACACGAAUAACAUUUCUAACACUUGGGAAAUUAACAACAUCCUACGUUGAAAAUGGACUAGAAGAUGGUGAUAAUUUUAAUAGAUUUAUGCAAUAUUGAAGUACUGCAGAUCAAACAAGGCAUGCUGAUGCACGAAUUAACAUUUCUGUCACUUGGGAAAGUCACAACAUCCUACGUUGAAAAUGGACUAGAAGAUACUGAUAAUAAUAACGGUUUUAUUCAAUAGCGCUGUACAGCUGAACACAUGACGCAUGGUGACACACGAAUAACAUUUCUAACACUUGGGAAAUUAACAACAUCCUACGUUGAAAAUGGACUAGAAGAUGGUGAUAAUUUUAAUAGAUUUAUGCAAUAUUGAAGUACUGCUGAUCAAACAAGGCAUGCUGAUGCACGAAUUAACAUUUCUGUCACUUUGGAAUGUCACAACAUCUUACGUUGAAAAUGGACUAGAAGAUACUGAUAAUAAUAACGGUUUUAUUCAAUAGCGCUGUACAGCUGAACACAUGACGCAUGGUGACACACGAAUAACAUUUCAAUCACUUGGGAAAUUAACAACAUCCUACGUUGAAAAUGGACUAGAAGAUGAUUGAAGUACUGCAGAUCAAACAAGGCAUGCUGAUGCACGAAUUAACAUUUCUGUCACUUGGGAAAGUCACAACAUCCUACGUUGAAAAUGGACUAGAAGAUACUGAUAAUAAUAACGGUUUUAUUCAAUAGCGCUGUACAGCUGAACACAUGACGCAUGGUGACACACGAAUAACAUUUCAAUCACUUGGGAAAUUAACAACAUCCUACGUUGAAAAUGGACUAGAAGAUGAUUGAAGUACUGCAGAUCAAACAAGGCAUGCUGAUGCACGAAUUAACAUUUCUGUCACUUGGGAAAGUCACAACAUCCUACGUUGAAAAUGGACUAGAAGAUACUGAUAAUAAUAACGGUUUUAUUUAAUAUUGCUGUACAGCUGAUCACAUGAUGCAUGGCGACACACGAAUAAUAUUUCUAACACUUGGGAAAUUCAUAACAUCCCACGUUGGAAAUGGACUAGAAGAUGAUGAUAAUUUUAAUAGUUUUUUCAAUGUAUGUGUAAUUGGUAUUGAAUGUAAUUGAAAAUCAAUUAACACUAGUGUUAUAAUAAUUUAGUGUCAUGACA
rnacentral:lncRNA from 1 species